UACAGGGGGCUCGAGCGUUAGUCGGAAUCACUGGGCUUAAAGGGUGCGUAGGCGGCUUGCCAAGUGCUUUGUGAAAUCCCACAGCUCAACUGUGGAACAGCAGGGCAAACUGGCAAGCUUGAAGUAGGUAGGGGCCGGAAGAACAGUAGGUGGAGCGGUGAAAUGCGUAGAUAUCUACUGGAAUGCCGAUGGGGAAGCCGUCCGGCUGGGCCUAUCUUGACGCUGAGGCACGAAAGCGUGGGGAGCAAACAGG
rnacentral:rRNA from 1 species